AACGCGAAGAACCUUACCUACCCUUGACAUCCCUGGAAUGCUGUAGAGAUAUGGUAGUGCCGAAAGGAGCCAGGAGACAGGUGCUGCAUGGCUGUCGUCAGCUCGUGUUGUGAGAUGUUGGGUUAAGUCCCGUAACGAGCGCAACCCUUAUCCUUAGUUGCCAACAUAUCAUGGUGGGGACUCUAAGGAGACUGCUGGUGAUGAACCGGAGGAAGGCGGGGACGACGUCAAGUCAUCAUGGCCUUUAUGGGUAGGGCUACACACGUGCUACAAUGGGCGGUACAGAGGGUAGCGAAGCCGCGAGGUGAAGCCAAUCCCAAAAAGCCGUUCGUAGUCCGGAUUGAAGUCUGCAACUCGACUUCAUGAAGUCGGAAUCGCUAGUAAUCGCGAAUCAGAAUGUCGCGGUGAAUACGUUCCCGGGCCUUGUACACACCGCUCGUC
rnacentral:rRNA from 1 species